GCCAGGCACCAUGGCACGUGCCUGUAGUCCCAGCUACUCGGGAGGCUGAGGUGGGAGGAUCACUUGAGUCCAGGAGUUCUGGGCUGUAGUGCGCUAUGCCGAUCGGGUGUCCGCACUAAGUUCAGUAUCAAUAUGGUGACCUCCCGGGAGCGGGGGCCCACCAGGUUGCCUAAGGAGGGGUGAAACCGGCCCAGGUCGGAUAUGGAGCAGGUCAAAACUCCUGUGCUGCUCAGUAGUGGGAUCUCACCUGUGAAUAGCCAUUGCACUCCCCAGCCUGGGCAGCAUAGCGAGACCCCAUCUCU
rnacentral:SRP_RNA from 1 species